UAAAAAAACGUCUCAAAUUGGUCUCUUAUGUCUUCUUCCGUUACCUCUUUUGGUCCUCUCUGUUAGUUUUUUAAUGACUAAUAUUUUUUAUAUAAUCUCAACCAUUGGAUUGCAUGUCUAUUGUGUACAACAAUGAGCCACCAACACUUAAUUUUUUCCCUUUCUUCAUCUUCUUUCUUCCAUCACUUCUUCAUAUUCAUAGAAAUUCGUACAAUUUACCAACAAAAAAAAAAUCAGAAAAAAAUCAACAUUCAACCAGCAAAAACGACAUCGUUUUCCUCUUUCUCUUCUCUUCUAUCCCACUACAAAAAAUCUCCAAGAUCCAAUCCUCUCCUUACGCAACAACCACCAUGUCUAGCUCUGUAAUCAUUGUAGGCAUUCAAGCUCUUAGGUUGCAGCACUCGUUAGGAUCUCACCAGACACCUUUGCUGCAAUCGCUGUCUCGGCGCUGCUUGGGGAAUUUACAUCACCAGUUGUAGCUUGAUCGGUGCUGCUACAACAGUGUUUGUUAAGCAAAAUGGAGAUGAGCAUAUGUUAGAAACCAGUCACCACUCACCAGUAAAGUAAUGUAUUUUGUACAUAAUAAUUUUUUUUUUUUGAGUUACAAUUAACCAAUUUGAUAACCAUCAGCAAAACACCUGUUGUUCGAGAGUCUGCCUUCUCCCUAAUAACCAUUAUAUGCUUUUAGUUUAAUAAACCUUCCAAAAAGAAUUGUGUCCUAGAUCACUUGCAGGAAUCCUAACGAGAAAGAAUUGGAGAUGAAAGUGAUGUAGUUGCAAAUUGAUUGAAGAAUUUUGAAAUUUGAGUUUCAACCAAGAGUUUUGCAGCUUUGAGUUUUAUGCUUUCGGGUAUGGGUAUGAGUUAAAGAUGAAGAAGGAGGGUGUUGAUGAUGAUAGAUGAAGAUGACAAUGAUGGUUAUGUGAUGAUUAAAGAGUAGGAAUAAUUAUUUUUAUUUUUUUGGGAUUUUCUGGAUUUUAUUGAUGAAUUUGUUGUUGAAGAUCAUGAAGAGAUGAGGGGAGAAGAAGAUGAAUGGAUUUUAUUAGGUGUGAGUGGUUCACAAUAAAGUACAAUAGACCCCACAUGAUUCAACGGUCUUCUUUUAAUGAAAAAAAUCAAAUGGUUAAAAUUAAAAAAAAUUAAUAAGGCAUAUGGUGGACCACCUUUAAACAUGGUUCACCUUAGACAUUUGAUGUUAAAAACUAACGGAGAGGACCAAAAGAGGAAACGGAAGAAGACAUAAGAGACCAAUUUGAGACGUUUUUUAGUUAGGGGAUCAUUCUAAAAAAAAGAAUUAAGUUAAGGGACUAAACGAUGUAUUGAGCCAAAAAAGUAAAUCAACGAUUUGCUAGCUGAAAUUGUGAGGGUCGAACAUUUUCUCCUUUGAAAUUUGUAAGACCAUCUCCACCAUAGCACUUCAUGUUGAAUGUUUAAGUGGAUCAUACAUGUACACAUCAUAUAUUUUAUAAUUUCUAA